rnacentral:lncRNA from 10 species
UUCCCCAGUAGAACUUAUUCAUUCUGGAGAAUUAGUAGGAACUGGAGAUACAGGUGGCAGAGUCAUAAUCCUUCAACAGGAGCAGAUGAACAAAAUCCCAUCUUAAGCAGAAGGGAAUACCAUGUUUACAGGACCUUUCAGAACGAUGAGCCAGAGUUUGACCACUUGAAAAGUUUAGAAAGAGAAGAAAAGUUCAACAAAGCUAGGUGGUUUCCCUGAGAAAAAUUCUGCUCAGUAUUGUCUACCAAUAAUAAAACAAUACAAUUAUGGAAAAUCAGUGAAAGGGACAAAAGACCAGAAGGAUAUAACUUGAAGAGGAAGAUGGGGUGUGUAGAGAUGCCACCACGGCUACUGCACUGUGAGUGCCAGUCGUUAGGCCCGUGGGUCUAGGGGUCGCAGUCACUCCACAAAGAGCAUCUGCCAAUGCUCAUACUGGUCACACCAACUCAAUUCCUGUUAAUAGAGAUUUUGAAACAUAUUUAUCUGCAGGUGAUUUGCAGAUCAAAAUCAAGUCUUUGGCAUCUGGAAAUUAUAGACAGGAGUUUUAAUAUUGUGGAUAUCAAGCCUGACAAUAUGGAAGAGCUAACAGGUGAUUUCAGCCGCAGAAUUCCAUCUGAACAGCUAUAACACAUCUGUAUCUAGCAGCAGUAAAGGAACUAUUUGCUCAUGUGACAUGAGAGCGUCUGCCCUCUGUGAUAGGCAUCUACACUGAAGAACCUGAUGAUUCCAGUAAUGGGUCAUUUUUGUCUGAAAUCAUCUAAUUUCUGACGUAAAAUUCAGCCAUAGUGGUCAAAUAUGAUGAUAGAGACCAUUUGUUAGUCAAAAGUUGGAACUUCAAUAUGGAAAACGCGGUGCACCAGUAGCUCGGAAGUAAGCUGUGCACUGUGUGAAAAGGACCAUGUGUCUGACAAAUUCAGUGUUGUUGGAAUGGAUCUGACGGUGUUGUGACUGGGUCUUAACAAUAAUUUCAGAAUGUUUGACAGGAACACAAAACAAGACCUAACGCUAGAAGUAUCACGGGAAAGCAGUAAGCCUGGUACGAUUCUGAAACCGUGCAAAGUCCACACAGGCAGCAAGCAAAAGAAGAUGAAAUUAGUGUUGACAGCCGAGACUCUAGCAAGGAAGUCCUGUGUAAGCCUGGCGCCCCAAGGACAGUAUCGUGCUGUAGCCAGUACAAUCUGUGUGUUUCAAGACAGUAAAUUAG